AUAAGGGAAAUAAAUAAAAUAAAGAGGGAAAAAAAUGGCUCCAAAGCUUUUGGACUGAGCAACUGGAAGAGUUGCUCUGCCUGAGGAGCUGGGUUGGGGGAGGUGUGGGAUCAGGAGUUGCAGUUUGAAUCUUUCAAGUCCAUUGAGAGACUUCCAAGUGUCUGGUAAGCACAAGGACCGCUGACUGGGAGGGGGUAGUUCCGGGACAGGGUGUGAGGAGGAAAUGGGAAGUCCAGCGGUUGCUGAACCACAGAAAGCAUGAAGCCAUGAGGCUGGGACCUACCCAAAGAACGGAAGGAGCAGAUAGGAAAGGAGUCGGACUGCUCUGCUGGAAAGGCCAUGGGAGAAGCCACAUGGACAGGCCACCUGGAGAGGGAAAGGUCCCGGGACUACUUGGAGAGAGGAGCCCAGCCUCCUCACCCUCCUUGCCAGCACACCGGGCAUGUGAAUGAGUCAUCCUGGACACUCCAGCCUAGUCAAGCUGCGGGACCCUGCAGCCCUGGCAGAAAUCUGUGAAGAGCAGAAGAACCACCUAGAUGAGCCCAGACAGUGCUGGAAUUUGAGAGAUAAUAAAACAAUUGUUUUAAUCAA